ensembl:lncRNA
CGGGACGCUCCUUCAACAACAACAGCAAGUCAGACAGCUCGUUAAAGAAGAGGGGGUCUGCUGGACGUAAAAAGAAGCUCUGGGGCUGAACAUUGUCGUGAAAGAGGAGAAGGAAGAGGAGGAUGUCACCGUAAAUCAACAAGUAGAGGCAGAGGAAACUCUGGGUCUUCCUUUCCGGUGGCAAUCCUCAUGAGAGCCACCCAUACCUUGUCACAACACAACUGUUUGGCUCAAACGCAUCAAGAAGGAAAGAAAUUCCACAAAUUAACAUUUAACAAGGCACACCUGUUAAUUUAAAUGAAUUGCAGGUGACUACCUCAUGAAGCUGGUUGAGAUAAUGCCAGAGUGUGCAAAGCUGUCAUCAACGCAAAGGGUGACUGCUUUGAAGAGUCUCAAAUAUAAAAUAUAUUUUGAUUUGAUUAACCCUUUUUUGGUUACUACAUGUGUUAUUUCAUUGUUUUGAUGUAUUCACUAUUAUUCUACAAUGUAGAAAUAAAGGAAAAACCCUUGAAUGAGUAGGUGUGUCCAAACUUUUGACUGGUACUGUAUGUAAAUGUGAUACUUUGGUUGUUGUUUUUGUUACAUUUGAAACAUUUAUAAAAACUGUUUUUGCUUUGUCAUUAUGGGGUAUUGUGAUGUCAUUAUGGAGUAUUGUGUGUAGAUUGAGGGGAAAAUAUCGAUUUAAUCCAUUUUAGAGUAACAGAACAAAAUGUGGAAAAAGUGAAGGGGUCUGAAUACUUUCCAAAUGCACUGUGUAUAUAUAGGGGCAGUACUUAGUGACAUCACUUCCUGAAACAGGAGGAACAAACAGGUUAAAAAUAUCAACAUUCAAUGUAUAAAAUAUAUGACCAAGCUGGAAGUGUAAACGCCAGCCCAUCCACAAUCCUAGAGGUUCACUGUUGAUCAACCUCCUCCUUCAUAUCUGAAUCCUGAUGAUCAAUCUCGUCCUUCACAUUUGACUCUUGAUGAUCAACCUCCUCCUUCACAUCUGACUCCUGAUGAUCAACCUCCUCCUUCACAUCUGACUCCUGGUGAUCAACCUCCUCCUUCACAUAUGACUCCAGUGAUCAAUCCAGUGUCUUCUUUUUUGGGGAAUCCCGAUGGACGACGUCAUCCAAUAGGCCAUCAUCAUGACCACCGCCCACAAGUUAAUUUUCAUUCGGGUUUUCAAUGGGAAGAGCAUUAGCAAGAACUCCUCUCUGGUAAAUUGUCUCAUUUAAUGGAUUUACAUUGGCAGGUGAACAUGGAGAAAUCCCAUUACAUUUUUUUUUGUCAAUCUCAAACUGCAGAAUCACUGUUGGAAUUCCUUAUCAAAGUCUGUGGCCUGUGAUGUUGGGACAAUUGAUAGUCCCUUAUUAUACAAGAGACCAUAUUCUACAGCACAACGGCAGAGUCAUGUCUUCAGUGUAAAACUAACAAUGACUCAAUAAUCCUUUUGGGAAUGUUAUGAUGUCAUAAAGUUAUGGGCGGAGUUAGAAAGUUGGCUGUCAGAAGUACAAUUAUACAAUGUAAAAUUACUUUUAAUCUGUCUGUCUGCAUAUUUCAAGACAUGGCAUUUGAGGGUGCAGUGAGAUACUUUUCUCAUCAAUCAUCUUAAAAAUGAUACUUAAUUAAAACCUGGAAAUCAACCAAUCCUCUGUUGUCCUCUAUUUUUGGAGUUAUUACAUUAAACUAAUCAGAUUUCAGAAGAAUGCCAAAAUCAGGUGUGAAGUAAUAUGGAGGACCAGCCUAUUCCCUAUGAUGUAAAC